ACGUGGGUAACCUGCCUUAUAGUGGGGGAUAGCCUUUCGAAAGGAAGAUUAAUACCGCAUAAGAUUGUAGUAUCGCAUGAUAUAGCAAUUAAAGGAGCAAUUCGCUAUAAGAUGGACCCGCGUCGCAUUAGCUAGUUGGUGAGGUAAUGGCUCACCAAGGCGACGAUGCGUAGCCGACCUCGAGAGGGUGAUCGGCCACAUUGGGACUGAGACACGGCCCAGACUCCUACGGGAGGCAGCAUGG
rnacentral:rRNA from 1 species